GCAAAAUUGAGGCACGCCACCAGGAUCCACCCCGACAGUCCUGCCCUUUCAAUACGAAGCCACAACUACAAGGAUGCUUCGCCACUCUCCGGCCGGCCUCCACUAGACCACCCCUCCCCUCGCCGUCGCCGGAGGAGGCCGCCGGGCGAAGCCCCGCGGCGGACGGCGGCGGCGAGGUUGCGUGCAGCCUCCUCUCCAGCCUGCUGCGUUCUCUCCUUCUCCCUCAGACCCAAAAUCCCCCCACGCCUCCUGCUUCCAUGCUUGCUUGGCUACGGCUGCCGGCCAUCUAAAUGCAUCGGCUGCCCCUGCUCUGGCCCCAUGGCUGCCGGAUGUGGCUGCUGGUCCUUGUGGACGGGGCGCUGACCGGUAAAAUUUCGAGCUGACGGCUUGUGUGGACGACUGCUCGGCGCGGCGCUGUGGGGGCGCGGCUGGGUGGCCGGCGGUGGCCGUCGCGGUGGGCCUGCGGGUUCGAUGGCGGGGGGUUGCGGGCACGGGCGUGCUGGCGCGGGGCGUCCUCGUCCUGGGUGCGCGUGGCCCUGGGCGUGUGGCGCGGUCGUGGUGGCGCCUGGUGCUGGUGCGGGCGGCCACGGACGCGCGUCGAGUCAGGGGAGCUGCGGGCGAGGUGGAUCCAGAGCGGCCGGCGCGCCGGCUCCAGAUCUGGCAGUGGUCGGAGCUUGCCAAGAUCCCCGUCCCCGAUCUGGCGAUCUUCGAGGCGGUCGGUCAUGGGAUGGUGCUCGGCGGCUUGGUUGGCGCUGCCGGCAGUGUUGGUGAAUGCGUGGCUUGCUUCUGGCUCGGGGCAUGCCGGUCGUGAUGGCGGGUGGCCUGGCGACGAUCUCGGGCUGGAUCUGAACUGCAGUGGUCCGAAUAGGGUCCUAUACGGUGGUGCUCUGGGAGAAAUCCCUGCUCACCCAUUGUGUGAGCCGACCACGACGGCGCCUCCCCGGCGUCGUAUACCUUCCUAGAGGCGUGGUCUUCGAGCUGUUCCGUGUGGAUCUGCUUCGGCGUCGUUCAGGCCGUUUUGCUGUAGGGAUAUGCUCAAACUCCGGGUGAGAACCUUUCAUCAACUAUGUCGAUGUCGGCGGCAGCGGCGUCUAUGGACAUCGUCUUCCUCGCAGGAGGUGCCGCUGUGGAGCUCCAGCACCUAUGGUAUUUUGAUUUGUGGUCUCCGGGUGAAAACCCAAGAUCGGGCUUGCCGGAUCGGAUGAUGGUGUUGUGUCUUCGACAGCACUACCUCCUUGGAGGCGUCAUCUUGGAGGCCCAAACCAUGGCCCCUGUUGCUGUUGUGUGGUUCAGGCUGGUGCGUUUGGUGGUGGUGAUGCGCCCAGCUUGGGGCCGACGGUGGUGUAUUUCUUUUUCAGGUGUUUCUCUUGGCUGUCCUUCGUGUGGUCUCCGUCUUGUUGCUGUGCAUGCUCAAGACCCUCCCAUGGUUGCCGUUGUGCUGCGGUGAGCUCUGGGCUCUUGGUGUUGUCUUGGUUCACCUUUGCUCAAUGACGACGCAAUGAUGCCUCCCCAACCUGCUAAUCGUUCUGACCGCCCGUGGCGGAUCUUCCAGUCAAGGUUCGUGUUACGGUUUGGCACUCGUUGAUUGUGGUUGAUCCUCUGUUGUGCCGUGGGGCUCGGUACGCACGCCGGUGCGGUGCGUUAGGUUGUUUGCAGAGUCUUGGUAUUGUGAUCCCUCGACAGAACCCCACAUCUACUUGUGUCUCUCGUGGUGUUGGUCUUUCUGCCUGCUAGCUAGGUCAUGCCCUCUCCUGGGUGGCACUUUUUUCUCAUCUUCUGUAACCUUGUUACCUGUAUGGUUUUCGGCCCGGUUUUCCUCAUAAACGGGGUCAACUUGUUUAGAUUUUUGAUCCGGUUUUCCUUAUAAACUGGAUCAGCCAAAGCUUAAGGGGUCACUCUUGGCUUUGACAAUUUUUUGAGCAAUAUAUUCAGGUGGGGAUCCUCCCCCCCCCCCGUGACCGUUCAAAAAAAAACUACAAGGAUGCUUCUUGAGGCACAAGACCAAGAACAGAUGCUACCGAGGUUAAUUACUCAAUCACUCAAGCGUGUGCUACGUGAUGGUGGAAAGGUUUCGGCCACUCACGAAGAGGUAUGUAUAAUACAGUAUAUCGUUAACUAUUUCAGCCAGACGAUGGUGGUGCGCGCAAGAUAACUCGUAUCACCAGAGAGGAGGGGGGCAGCGAGCAUUGCUUAAAUCAUGGUGUGCCACUAGGAGGCAUACCAAGCUCCUGGAAGACAAGGACGAUGGGUCUCCACCUCGACCUUCCAAUACCCCUUCCUUUACUUUGUGGAGGGUCCUCGUGGAGUGGUUGGCCUCAGGGAUAAUGCCGAGAACAUCUUAUUGGACGAGACAAAAGAUGUGUGCAGUGGGUAUGAGAGUGGAGAAGUUGUACCAGAGGGACCCGGCCAACAAUGAUCGUCUCAUAGUGGUGUAUCCAGUUAAGAUGCAUAAAAUUCAAGAAUGUGAGAAAAGAACAGAGCAAAUUUCUAAGCCCAAUAGAUUUUUGUGUAGAAAGAUGCUUUUGCAUCCACAUAUUAUUGCAACUCUUCGUUUCAGCCCGGGCAACGAUGAACUAGGUCGUAGUCGUGUAGCCCGGACACAAGCAAAGCAACAUCUGUUCAAGCUUAUCUUUUCAGAACCGCAAUAUAUUCUUCCAGACUUUCCUC